rnacentral:rRNA from 1 species
AAUUAUUUCAAUUUUCUUUCACAAUACUAUUUCACUAUAAUUAAAAUUAUUUUUUCUUUAUAAAAUACUAAAACAAAUCAUUUUAUAAUUAUUUUUAAUAAUUUAAAUUUUAAAAAAAAAUUAUUAAUAAAUAAAAUUUAAUCAAUUUAUAUUGAUUUGCACAAAAAUCUUUUCAAUGUAAAUGAAAUACUUUACUUAAUAAGCUUUAAAUUGCAUUCUAGGUACACUUUCCAGUACAUCUACUAUGUUACGACUUAUCUUACCUUAAUAGUAAGAGUGACGGGCGAUGUGUACAUAUUUUAGAGCUAAAAUCAAAUUAUUAAUCUUUAUAAUUUUACUAUCAAAUCCACCUUCAAUAAAUAUUUCAAAUUUAUAUUCAUAUAAAUAAUUUUAUUGUAACCCAUUUCUACUUAAAUAUAAGCUACACCUUGAUCUGAUAUAUUUUCUUAUUAUAAAAUUAUGAAAAUUAACAUUCUUAUAAAAUAUUCUAAUAACGACGGUAUAUAAACUGAUUACAAACUUAAGUAAGGUCCAUCGUGGAUUAUCGAUUAUAGAACAGGUUCCUCUGAAUAGACUAAAAUACCGCCAAAUUUUUUAAGUUUCAGGAACAUAACUA